rnacentral:rRNA from 1 species
UGACAGGGCGUCCUAGAGGGUGAGAAUCCCGUACGCGGCCAUCAAGCCCGUGUGAAGCCCUUUCGACGAGUCGAGUUGUUUGGGAAUGCAGCUCUAAAUGGGUGGUAAAUUUCAUCUAAAGCUAAAUAUCUGCCAAAGACCGAUAGCGCACAAGUAGAGUGAUCGAAAGAUGAAAAGAACUUUGGAAAGAGAGUUAAACAGUACGUGAAAUCGUUAAAAGGGAAGCGCUUGCAACCAGACUCGCUCGGUGCAUUCGGGCCAGCAUCGGUUCUGGCGGCCGGACAAAGGCCCGGGAACGUAGCUUUUCGGGAGUGUUAUAGCCCGGGGUGCAAUGCGGCCAGCCGGGACCGAGGACCGCGCUAGGAUGCUGGCGUAAUGGUGCCAGCGACCCGUCUUGAAACACGGACCAAGGAGUACCAACCGGGCGAGUGUUUGGGCGUCAAACCCAUGCGCGCAAUGAAAGUGAACGGAGGUGGGAGCCCACCAUCGACCGAUCCUGAUGUCUUCGGAUGGAUUUGAGUACGAGCCCCGCUGGUGACCCGAAAGAUGGCGAACUAUGCGUGAAUAGGGCGAAGCCAGAAGAAAUUCUGGUGGAGGCUCGCAGCGGUUCUGACGUGCAAAUCGAUCGUCAAAUUUGCGCAUAGGGGCGAAAGACUAAUCGAGCCAUCUAGUAGCUGGUUCCCGUCGAAGUUUCCCUCAGGAUAGCAGCAACGACAGUCUCAUGAGGUAGAGCGAACGAUUAGAGGCAUGGGGGUUGAAACAACCUUCACCUAUUCUCGAACUUCGAAUAUGUGAGAAGUCC